GCAUAUCAAUAAGCGGAGGAAAAGAAACUAACAAGGAUUCCCCUAGUAACGGCGAGUGAAGCGGGAAGAGCUCAAGCUUAAAAUCUCUAUGCUAGUUUAGCAUGGCGAAUUGUAGUCUAUUGAGGCUGUUGUCAGCACAGUCAUUUGGGACAAGUCCCUUGGAAGAGGGCAGCAUAGAGGGUGAUACUCCCGUCUCUGCUCAGAUGACUUGUGUGUACGAUACGCUUUCUUUGAGUCGAGUUGCUUGGGAAUGCAGCUCAAAGUAGGUGGUAAAUUCCAUCUAAAGCUAAAUAUAGGUGCGAGACCGAUAGCGAACAAGUACCGUGAGGGAAAGAUGAAAAGAACUUUGAAAAGAGAGUUAAAGAGUACCUGAAACUGUUGAAAGGGAAUCGUAUCGUUUCCAGUGUCUUAUCCUUUGCAUACUUCAUUGGCGAACUUGUUUGCUGGUGCCCUGUGCAUUGGUGUGACGUCAAACUCAGUUUGUAUGCUGCGGGAAAUGGUUAUUGAGGAGGUACUUUACUUCGGUAAACGUUAUAGCUCGAUAACUAGUAGUCGUGGUUGAGACUGAGGUGCCUACAACAUGCUUUGAAGUCUUUUUGGGUCUCGUUUGAAUAAUUGUUUGGAUAGCUUGCUAUGCUUGCGGUUUUUUUGGGCGAUUGAUGCGAAUUGUAACUUCCUGCUGUUCGGGAGUUUGGCGAAAUGGAGCGAUAUGUCCCGUCUUGAAACACGGACC
rnacentral:rRNA from 1 species